AACUAAGAAGUGGUGUCCAUAUUAAAUUGCAAAUUUAAUGAAGCAAAAGCCUUAGUUA
rnacentral:tRNA from 1 species